rnacentral:rRNA from 1 species
UACGGGGGGGGCAAGCGUUGUUCGGAAUUACUGGGCGUAAAGGGCGCGUAGGCGGCUCGGUAAGUCGGAUGUGAAAACUCGGGGCUCAACCCCGAGACGCCAUCCGAUACUGCUGUGGCUUGAGUCUGGUAGGGGAGAACGGAAUUCCUGGUGUAGCGGUGAAAUGCGCGGAUAUCAGGAGGAACACCGGUGGCGAAGGCGGUUCUCUGGGCCAGUACUGACGCUGAGGAGCGAAAGCGUGGGUAGCAAACAGG